AUCCGUCACCAAGGAGGCAGACAGGACAGGGGAACAACAAGUCAUUUGUACCUGAUGAGGAGGACACUCCUGGGAAACAAACAGAUGAGCCACUCCAUGAAUCUGAGCCAUUCUCCCGAGGAAUCUUCUCCUGCCUUUAGAGGUAGAGUAUGGAUCACAGCUGGUGCUGGUAAAACAACUCAACGGAGACUACUGCAAUGAGCAGACAAGCCUGGCAUACAGCAAAAUGGGGAGGAUUUGCUUUUCUUGAGCAAAAGCUUUGUGGGGUGCCAAGAGGCAGAGAGAAGAAGGCUUAAAAACAGACCCAGGCUGUGUAUGGAACAAACCCACAGUAACAAAGUUCUAUUCUUAAAAGCAAGACAUGUGGCAGUGUAUGUCAGGCUCACAGAGUUUUUCUCGGUCUGACUCGAAAUCCGAGAGGUCUUUAUCCUAUUUGUACUGUGCGUGAUAAAGUAUUCAUGGACUUUGUAUAUGGUGCACACACAUUGAUGCAGCUACAAAAGACUGCAGAACAGAUCUGACCCAGCGAUUCCAACAUCCACUUUCUGGAGAGGAAAACCCAAGAGAAGACUUCAAUUCCGGUAGCCUCCUCUCCACCUUUUAGCAGGUGGGCCCCAGGUAUUCUUACAGUUAAGCCUUUGGCUUCACUGGUUACUUCAGAACAGUAAACUCCACACAGAAAUGUAUCAUUUUAGCACCUGAAUGAUAACCAUUUUGGGAAAGAUAUCCACAUGCUACAAUGGGUACUGGGUGCUUAGGAAAAUGAGUUUCACAAAGGAUUAUCAUCAUUGUGAACUAGGACCGAUUUAUCUGGCGAAGUAUUCCAAGAGGAGCAGAUAAGGAUUUUAUGUGUCUUUGUGUCUUUUGCUUUCAGAACUAAGAUCCCCGUGUAUGGGACUGCAGCUGAUUCAGUAUCCUAGUGCUUUAAGUAGCGUAUCUUCAGUGCUUUGAAAACCAUGAGUAUUCAGCUAACCGGAUCAUCUUCUUCAGCUAACCAGACCAUCUUCCCCUGAGAAUCAGCAGCAGUAGCAGCAGCAGCACAUAUUAUGUGCAGAGCCCUGUAAUGAGGGCUUG